GAUGAACGCUGGCGGCGUGCCUAAUACAUGCAAGUCGAACGAAACUUCUUUAUCACUGAGUGCUUGCACUCACCGAUAAAGAGUUGAGUGGCGAACGGGUGAGUAACACGUGGGCAACCUGCCCAAAAGAGGGGGAUAACACUUGGAAACAGGUUCUAAUACCGCAUAACCAUAGUUACCGCAUGGUAACUAUGUAAAAGGUGGCUAUACUACCGCUUUUGGAUGGGCCCGCGGCGCAUUAGCUAGUUGGUAGGGUAAAGGCUUACCAAGGCAAUGAUGCGUAGCCGAAUUGAGAGGUUGAUCGGCCACAUUGGGACUGAGACACGGCCCAAACUCCUACGGGAGGCAGCAGUAGGGAAUCUUCCACAAUGGGCGAAAGCCUGAUGGAGCAACGCCGCGUGGGUGAAGAAGGUCUUCGGAUCGUAAAACCCUGUUGUUAGAGAAGAAAGUGCGUGAGAGUAACUGUUCACGUUUCGACGGUAUCUAACCAGAAAGCCACGGCUAACUACGUG
rnacentral:rRNA from 1 species